UACGAAGGGGGCUAGCGUUGCUCGGAAUCACUGGGCGUAAAGCGCACGUAGGCGGAUUGCUAAGUCAGGGGUGAAAUCCUGGAGCUCAACUCCAGAACUGCCUUUGAUACUGGCGACCUUGAGUCCGGGAGAGGUGAGUGGAACUGCGAGUGUAGAGGUGAAAUUCGUAGAUAUUGGGAAGAACACCAGUGGCGAAGGCGGCUAACUGGUCCAGCACUGACGCUGAGGUGCGAAAGCGUGGGGAGCGAACAGG
rnacentral:rRNA from 1 species